AGUCGUAACAAGGUUUCCGUAGGUGAACCUGCGGAAGGAUCAUUACCGAGUGAGGGUCCCACGAGGCCCAACCUCCCAUCCGUGUUGAACUACACCUGUUGCUUCGGCGGGCCCGCCGUGGUUCACGCCCGGCCGCCGGGGGGCCUUGUGCUCCCGGGCCCGCGCCCGCCGAAGACCCCUCGAACGCUGCCCUGAAGGUUGCCGUCUGAGUAUAAAAUCAAUCAUUAAAACUUUCAACAACGGAUCUCUUGGUUCCGGCAUCGAUGAAGAACGCAGCGAAAUGCGAUAAGUAAUGUGAAUUGCAGAAUUCCGUGAAUCAUCGAAUCUUUGAACGCACAUUGCGCCCCCUGGCAUUCCGGGGGGCAUGCCUGUCCGAGCGUCAUUGCUAACCCUCCAGCCCGGCUGGUGUGUUGGGUCGACGUCCCCCCCGGGGGACGGGCCCGAAAGGCAGCGGCGGCGCCGCGUCCGAUCCUCGAGCGUAUGGGGCUUUGUCACGCGCUCUGGUAGGGUCGGCCGGCUGGCCAGCCAGCGACCUCACGGUCACCUAUUUUUUUCUCUUAGGUUGACCUCGGAUCAGGUAGGGAUACCCGCUGAACUUAAGCAUAUCAAUAAGCGGAGGAA
rnacentral:misc_RNA from 1 species